UGCUGAUUGGUUCUCUCGCUGCGUUUACUUCACGAGUAUCUGUCAUUGCCAAAAUUGUGUGUUUUGACACACAAUGUCAAAAC